AACGAACGCUGGCGGCAUGCCUAACACAUGCAAGUCGAACGAAGGCUUCGGCCUUGUGGCGCACGGGUGCGUAACGCGUGGGAAUCUGCCCUUUGGUUCGGAAUAACAGCUGGAAACGGCUGCUAAUACCGGAUGAUGACGAAAGUCCAAAGAUUUAUCGCCAGAGGAUGAGCCCGCGUUGGAUUAGGUAGUUGGUGGGGUAAAGGCCUACCAAGCCGACGAUCCAUAGCUGGUCUGAGAGGAUGAUCAGCCACACUGGGACUGAGACACGGCCCAGACUCCUACGGGAGGCAGCAGUGGGGAAUAUUGGACAAUGGGCGCAAGCCUGAUCCAGCAAUGCCGCGUGAGUGAUGAAGGCCCUAGGGUUGUAAAGCUCUUUUACCCGGGAAGAUAAUGACUGUACCGGGAGAAUAAGCCCCGGCUAACUCCGUG
rnacentral:rRNA from 1 species